rnacentral:rRNA from 1 species
GACGAACGCUGGCGGCGUGCCUAACACAUGCAAGUAGAACGCACAGUCUAUACCGUAGCUUGCUACACCAUAAACUGUGAGUUGCGAACGGGUGAGUAACGCGUAGCUAACCUGUCUGGUAGCGUGGGGUAACUAUUGUUAACGCUAGCUAAUACCGCAUCAUCUUGUUUAUUCCAUGAUAAUUGAUUGCAAGAUGCUAUUGCAUCGCUACUAUCUGGUCCUGCGUUGUAUUAGCUAGUAGGUGAGGUAAAGGCACACCUAGGGGAAGAAACAUAGCCGACCUGAGGAGGUGAUCGGCCACACUGGGAAUGGGACACGGCCCAGACUCCUACGGGAGGGAGCAGUAGGGAAUCAUUGGCAAUGGGCGGAAAGCUGAACGAAGAACGCCGGGGGAGUGAAGAAGGGUUUCGGGGCGGAAAGCUCUGUUGGAAGGGAAGAAAGGGUGGGAGAGUGGAAAGUUCACGCUGUGACGGUAUCUAACCAGAAAGCAACGGCUAACUACGUG